GAGUCAGCCAGGACAGAUGAACAGAGUCUGU
rnacentral:rRNA from 1 species